UACGGAGGAUCCGAGCGUUAUCCGGAUUUAUUGGGUUUAAAGGGUGCGUAGGUGGACUGAUAAGUCAGUGGUGAAAGUUUGCAGCUUAACUGUAAAAUUGCCGUUGAAACUGUUGGUCUUGAGUGCAAAUGAGGUAGGCGGAAUGUGUUGUGUAGCGGUGAAAUGCUUAGAUAUAACACAGAACACCGAUUGCGAAGGCAGCUUACUGGGAUGCAACUGACACUGAUGCACGAAGGCGUGGGGAUCAAACAGG
rnacentral:rRNA from 1 species